AAUAUUGUACAAUGGGGGCAACCCUGAUCCAGCCAUCCCGCUAGUAAGAUGAAUGCCUUCGGGUUGUAAAGUACUUUUGGCAGAGAAUAAAAGGUAUCUCCUAAUACGAUAUACUGCUGACGGUAUCUGCACAACCAGCACCGUCUAACUACGUGCCAGCAGCCGCGGUAAUACGUAGGGUGCCAGCGUUAAUCGGAAUUACUGGGCGUAAAGCGUGUGUAGGCGGUUCGGAAAGAAAGAUGUGAAAUCCCAGGGCUCAACCUUGGAACUGCAUUUUUAACUGCCGAGCUAGAGUAUGUCAGAGGGGGGUAGAAUUCCACGUGUAGCAGUGAAAUGCGUAGAUAUGUGGAGGAAUACCGAUGGCGAAGGCAGCCCCCUGGGAUAAUACUGACGCUCAGACACGAAAGCGUGGGGAGCAAAC
rnacentral:rRNA from 1 species